UAUGGAGGGUGCAAGCGUUAUCCGGAUUCACUGGGUUUAAAGGGUGCGUAGGUGGGUUGGUAAGUCAGUGGUGAAAUCCCCGAGCUUAACUUGGGAACUGCCAUUGAUACUAUCAGUCUUGAAUAUCGUGGAGGUUAGCGGAAUAUGUCAUGUAGCGGUGAAAUGCUUAGAUAUGACAUAGAACACCAAUUGCGAAGGCAGCUGGCUACACGAAUAUUGACACUGAGGCACGAAAGCGUGGGGAUCAAACAGG
rnacentral:rRNA from 1 species